GAGUUGAAAGUUGAAACCCCAAUUUUCCACCACAAAUCUGCCCCCAUUCGUAUUCUCCCACAGAAGGUCAAUUUCCCCUACCACCAUCGUCUGUUAUUCCGACCUGAACAUGUUCUGACCUGUCACCCACUCGACUUGCCCGGUUUGCAAAGUCUAUCCAUCACUCUUCGUAUGGUGGUAUGCGACUCGCUCGGUUGCCAGGUCUAUCCUCAUAUGGAAGUUUGUCUUUUCUCCAUGGUUUGGAUCAACUACAAUUCUUAACUUAACUAUGGUUAGAAUUAGUUCUUCGACAUAGCAAUAAUGCAUUUAUAUUUUAUAUUGUUUUUGUUUAGACUUUAGAUAGACAACAAAUUGUUAAAAACACCUGUUGAUAGUGUUAUUAACGAACCAGUUCAAAAGAAA